GAUGAACGCUGGCGGCGUGCCUAACACAUGCAAGUCGAGCGACCGCACGGUAAGCUUGUUCCCUUGCGGUUAGCGGCGGACGGGUGAGUAACACGUGCAUAACAUUCUUCUUUGUCUGGGAUGAUUACGGGAGACCGGUGCUACUACUGGAGCAUACUUCGUACGGCUUGGAUCAGAAGUGCUUCACGGCCUUGCCGUCUCAUUUAGCCGGUUCCGUGUUGGAUUAGCUAGUUGGUAAGGUAACGGCUAACCAAGGCGACGAUGCUUAGCCGACCUGAGAGGAUGAUCGGCCACACUGGAACUGAGACACGGUCCAGACUCCUACGGGAGGCAGCAGUAGGGAAUAUUGCGCAAUGGGCGAAAGCCUGACCCAGCAAUGCCGCGUGAGUGAAGAAGGUCUUCGGAUCGUAAAGCUCUUUUGUUGGGAAAGAAAAGCAGCGUGUUAAAAUGUCGCCGUCCUGACGGUACCUAAUCAAUAAGCAACGGCUAACUACGUG
rnacentral:rRNA from 1 species